UCUCAUAAAGCCAAAGAGACAAUUAUCUUCUACUUUUAAUCUUAUCUAAAUUUGGAUAAAGAGAGGGGCUGGGGUGGAAUGCAAUGGUGACCUCUUACCCAGCAUCUUGAAGUGCUGAGUUUGACCUCAAGCACAGGAAAUAAAAUACACUGAAAUGUUAGAAACGAUUUUUUUAAUUGAGAAUCUCCUGACUGAAAUAAGGUGUCUUCUAAAACAUUUCUGUUUCUGGUAUCCUUUGAGUUUACUGGCCAGUUCAUCAAACAUUUACCCAGCAUGCCCUGUAGCUGGCAGUAUCGCACUCCAAAAAUGAAUGACUCACGGAUCUCAGUCCCAAGGGAUUCACACAGUGAUGGAGAUUCAAUGGCCCAAAUGAAGAAAGGCCUCUAGGCACAUGGUCCCUUUUGUGUGGAGUCCAAGGUUAAAGGAAAACACUUGUCUCACUCACUGCCAUUAACUUAGCAGCCGAUAUGUGGUAGGCACUUAAUGACUGUUUGUCAAGUGAAUUAUGAACCAGGAAGUCUGAAGCCUGAGAAACGUAAGUUAGAAGGAAGAAUCUCUUGAGAUAAAAAGCUGGUAGAAAGAUUCAACAGCUCUCUGAAAUCCUGAUCUGACUGACCACCUAACUCUCUGGUUUGAUGUGGACCUCUAUGCAUCCAGUAACUGUUAGGGAAAGGCGCCAUGGUCCAGGCCCCACCCCAGUCAGAUGUCCUGGGAGGUGGGUCGCAUGAGUUACUUGCCUUGUUGCUGAGAAAAAACACCUGACAAAGCUACUUAAGAAGAGAUCUCUUCUGGCUUACGGUUCAAGGGUAUCGUUCUGCCAUUGUCGGAACAUGGUCCAAGAAUGGAGUUGUGUGAGGGGAUUUCUGAAUGCUCGGAGAAAACUCCAAGAAGCCAAGAGUUUUGUGACCUCAGUUUCUUAACAGAAUUGUUCUUGGAAUCUGUUUUUCUGUCCCUCUCAGGUGUAGUGGUUAGGAGUGAGUUUACUUCAGAUUACUUGUUACAACUGGUGAUUGUUCUUGGUUUCUAUGCCUCUACUGAGACACAUGUCUCUGUCACACGUAGCCUGUCACUUGAAGCUUGCCCUUGUGAUUGCAAAAACCAUCUGAUGCUCUGAAUAAAGUUGGCCAUUGCGUG
rnacentral:lncRNA from 1 species